UACAGAGGCCUCGAGCGUUAGGCGGAAUCACUGGGCGUAAAGGGCGCGUAGGCGGCUCAUGAAGGCUGUGGUGAAAGUCCGGGGCUCAACUCCGGAUCUGCGGUGGGUACGGGCAGACUAGAGUGAUGUAGGGGAGACUGGAAUUCCUGGUGUAGCGGUGAAAUGCGCAGAUAUCAGGAGGAACACCGAUGGCGAAGGCAGGUCUCUGGGCAUUAACUGACGCUGAGGAGCGAAAGCAUGGGGAGCGAACAGG
rnacentral:rRNA from 1 species